GAGAGCAUUAAUACAAUGAAUAUAGAGUGAGUGGAGCAGUACCAAUUCCAUGUUUGUUUGUGAUGGAAAAAUCAAUUGCCAGCAAAUUGAUCACAAAAUUUGAGAGAGAAGUUAAUUUUUGCAAAGUUGGACUCCAUUGACACUCAUUCUCAAACACUGACCACAGACAAAAACACAUUGCCAUGGUCUGUUCUACUGUUCACUCUUUGCUUUUUUAUAAUUCUCUUCUUCUGGUAAAGCUUCAGUUGGACACUUGAAAAAGCAAACUUUGGAGAGAAUGAAGUGUUUUCUGGAUCCAGAACUCCUCAUUUCAUUGCCAGGCAUUUUGUUUUUGGGUUGCAAGAGUUUACGUUUGAAGCUCCUUGUUCUUGCAUGAUUGAUUGAAGUUUGUGUCGGCCCCCUUGCGCAAUGGGCAUAGUAAAAGUCAGGCAUCGGGGGCCAGGUAGUGAUAGUCAGUUGCAACGAGCUGGUGAUGUUCUUUUGCAACGAGAGAGAUUACUUCUUGAAAAGGAUUCACGGAAUGAUUCUGAUGAUGAUGAGUUUGCCGAAGUGGGCUGUGAGCUUGCCAUGGUUGGAGAUCAGACUUGCAGUGUUCCGUAUGAUCUUUAUGAUUUGUCAAACUUGAAAGAUGUACUCUCUUUAGAGACUUGGAAUUCUUGUUUAACAGAAGAAGAAAGGUUCUCACUUGCAGCUUAUCUACCAGAUAUGGACCAGGAGACGUUUUGGCUGACGAUGCAGGACUUGCUUCGGGGUGACAAUUUGUUCUUUGGCAGUCCAUUGGAAGAACUGUUUCAAAGACUAAAGGGAGGAUAUUAUUCUCCGAAAGUGACUCAAUUUAGAGAAGUUCUGCAGUUGUUAAUGAGGCACAAGUACUAUCAUUCUCUAAGAUCGUAUCAUGAGCGGAUGUCUCAGAAGUUUGUGGACAUGAAAAAUACAUGGAGGGAUCGUGCACCCAAUGGUAGUGUUGAGGAAAGGAUUAACAUUUGGAACAGUUUGAAAACCAGCAAACCUCGGCUUUUAGUUGAUCUCAAUGCAGUACCAUCUGAUGAGGAGUUUCCCUUUAAGGCUGACAAAAUGGUGGCGAGCAUUCCAUUGCGGAAGAAACCCAAAUACUUAGAUAAAGAGGGAGUAGGUCAUUUCAUUGCUCCCAAUACUGUAAGUGAUUUAGGAGUGAACACAAAGUUGAAGGCAAAGGGGGUCCUGAAAAUCAAGCCCGUUGAAAUUCUUUCAAAGCAAAAUCAUGUUGUGCAGCCAUUGCCUGGUGACCCUUGGGGAUCAUGCAGGCAGCCGCCGAAAGGUGUUUUGAAAAUAAAACCCAAACAGAAUCCUUCUGUGCUACCAGAAAGACUUACAGCAUUGCCUCUGCUACCUGAACUUACCUCUGCUGAAGUGUCAAGUUUACCUGAACCUAAAUUUCCUCGGCAGCAGUUUGCUUUUGAUUGCAAGCCGGAGAACUUCAAUAAUGAGUUGCCUCUUCUACAUCAGACUGGUCGGGAUGUAAAAAUUUAUAGGAGUCCUGAUCUACCUGAUGUUGUACAAAGUAAGCAGAGGGAUAAUUUUCCUUACAUGGGUACCCAGAUCUCCAAAAGAAAGAUGAAGAUUUUAAAUGAUGUGAGGGCGCAUAGUGCUGCUGAGAUACAAGAUGACUUUCCGUUGAACCUUAACCAAAAUUUGAGAAUGUACUCUAAUGAUAGUGGAAUGGUUGGAGAGUAUGGCAAUGGUGAAAAUCUUUGGCUGAAACCUGGUGAUCUAACUAAGGGUUACUAUGGAAGUCCUGUGGAGCCAUGCUCAUUUCCACUUGAGCAUCAAGGAAGAAGGCAAAUAAGACCUGUGCCUCAAAUGGUCUCUGAAACAAUUUCGAGGGUUUCUUCUGUUGGCUCUGACAAGCAUCAUGUUUUCCCCAUGUCUCCCGAUGAGUCAGAAGACUCAGAACACAAUCACAUAGAUAAAAUCAAUGAAUUUGAAACAUCCUUCCGCCAGACGAUUUCAGGGGUCCCGAAAGAAGUUCAUGUUUUUCCAAUCACAUACAAGAGAAAGAAACCUCAUGUCAAGCUCAACACUGUUGAUUCUCUCAAGCAGCCUGUGGUGAUUGCUAAUUCAGAGUCAAUGGUGCUGAGUACAACAGAUUGUCGGCCGACCGAGAAGACAAAACCAUUAAAGAUCAAAGUAAAGGGCUUUGGUGAUUACAAUGCUAAAUUCAAGCAAGGAAUGCUAAACGGGCUGCAGCGUGGAUCUCCGUCCACUUGAACGAACGUUUGAACAACACCAUUCCUGCAUGAUGUUUCUGUUUGUGUGGGGUUGUGUUGAUCUUAGCCUUCUUUUGAUGUCAGAACCCCACUAGACACCUAAUUUGGUUGCUGCAUUUCUUAGUGAAGUGGUAAAAUGAUAGAUCUUGCAAAAUUCCAAAUUCCUAGUUGAUCAUGGUUACAUGAGAAAGACAACCCUAUAAUUGUGGUUGUUUCAUGUAAUAGUUUCAUACAUAUACCUAAUUCCUUUUGGCAGGCCAUCCCUUUCUGUAUGAGGAUGAGCUGUAUUUUGUCAUGAAUCCAUCUUAUGUGUAGUAAGUGACCUUCAUUAACUCAAUUGUUUUGCCAGCCUACCUCUGCAAAUCAUGCUAAUGCAUAUAUCUGCAUAUAUUGAUCAAUGUAUUUUACUGAUAUGAUGGAAAAAAAAAUACAUACAUAUAGCUUUAGAGUUAUGUUUAUCAUGAUUGAUGACUGCAGAUGCAGUUGAGUAAAUUCAAACAAAUUUAUUUUUUCUUGAAUCCAUCUUAUGUGUAGUAAGUGACCUUGAUUAACUUAAUUGUUUUGCCAGCCUAACUCUGCAAAUUAUGCUAAUGCAUAUAUCUGCAAAUAUCUAUCAAUGUAUUUUACUGUUAUGAUGGAAAAAAUACAUAUAUAUAUAUAUAGUGUUAGAGUUAUGUUUAUCAUGAUUGAUGACCAAAGAUGCAGUUGAGUAAAUUCAAACGAAUUCAUUUUGUUUUGAAUCCAUCUUAUAUGUUGGAAGUGACCUUGAUUUACUCAAUCGUUUUGCCAGCCUACCUUGCCAAAUCAUGCUCAUGGAUAUAUUUUGAUAUAUUGAUCUCAAUGCAUUUUGCUGAUAUGGUGGGAAAAAACACACACACACACAUAUUUAUACAACUUCAGAGUUCAGAUGCUUUUAAACUGAAAACUUGAAACUCAAACCAGAGAAUUAGAAAAGAAGUUUCAUUUACUUGUAAGAAAGAUUUAGAUGGCAACUGAAACCUGCAUGUUUUGACGAUCAUUUCAAGGUAUGUGCAUGUUCCAUACUUUUCGAUCUCAUAUGUGAUUCUUUUCUUAUGUGACCUAUUCAUUCUCUUCCUGAGCAGACAAGAAAUAAUAGUAUGCACAGCUUGUUAUGACCUUUCACCAUCAUUUACUUAUUCAUUCUUUGUGAUACCACUUGCUCAUGGAUGCAGAUGAAAUCUGAUAUUUGGUUGUGAUCGAGCACUUGCCAUGUCAUUGCCAAGUCAGCUGUGAACAUCAUCAGGAACAAAGCAGUAUUUGGAUGAAGACCUGCUUCUUCAAGAGUCAUUUCCAGUUGUUCAUGGCCGUAAACUUUUCUGGGGAAGCUAGAUAUCAGUUGAUAACCACCAAUACCAGGGAUUCAAGGUAAGCUGCAUCCUGUUCUUCUCGGAGUUGGCGGUCUCUUCUCAAAGUUUCGUCUUCUGCUUCUCUUAAGGCCCUGAAAGCUGAACCUUGUUCUUCCAUGGUUCUCUGCAGGAUCUCCAGCAGUUCUUCAGGUGAUACCGGUCCUUCUAUCUGUAUAAUUUUCACUAAUGGUAACCAGAAGCUCUCUUCUUUAUGAAUUAAGCGAAGUCAUGAAGAACAAGAAUCAAUACCUGUUGCAGAACAGCAAUCGUUUUACAGGAGGCGGGAGCAAUGACAGCGCAGAAGGGAAAGCUGGAUGCUCUUAAUGCGAAGGCCAUCUCAAAACCUUCGCCUCUGUUUGCAACUGCACCCCAAGACACAAAGUUUGCAUCCAGAAACUCUAUGACCAGCUGCGAUCGGAGAGUGUUGCAGCAGAAUGGAUCAGUGCCAGUCUCUUCCGGCGCAUGAAGGGAUUUCAUCUUGAGGCUGCUGGAGCUGCGGAGGCCGAGCGUUUCUUCUUGGAAUGCCAUGACCUAAUGCUCUUGAUAUCCCAUCUAAUAUGUUCAGAGGGAGUCCAACAAUUCGGCGAAUGAAACUACCCAUGUUCUCCAUUGCUGUCAUCUUGAUCUUGGAGAGGAACAAUUGCGAGUUUAUGAGUUUCGAAAAUAAAUCAGUAUUCUUUUACUGUUAAUUACCAUACCUCAUUGAAUUGCUUUAUUCCUUUCAUUUUGUUUCUAAAGAAAGGAAUAACCAAAAUGUUUAAGAGUUUAGUAUUUGAUGUUGUUCUAGAGGGAGUAUGGCAUCAAGCAAGGAAGCAAACUCAAGAAGAGGAUCAUUUGGCCUUUUCUUUUCUUGCUCUCUAGUUCAUAUGUUUUGGUAA